ACGUUUUAGGCUUUAUUAGUAAUAUGGUUAACACUAUAAUUAAUAGGUAAAGUACGGAAUUGCAUGGCUGUCGUCAGUUCGUGCUGUGAAGUUUAGGAUUAAGUUCUUUUCAACGAAUGUAACCCUAUAAGUAAGUUUUUAUAAUGUACAAAAUAAAUGUAUAAUAUAUACUUAUUUAAUCUAUAACUGAAUAUAUUGAAAUCUUUUUUGUAUAUUUAGUUAUAGGGGUUUUAGGCUGAAGUCAAGUCCCUAUGGUCUUUAUACGUUGGGCUACACACGUGUUACAAGGGUAAAAACAAAGAGACGCAAUAGAGUAAUCUGGAGCAAAUCUCUAAAAAUUAUCUUAGUUCAGAUUGUUUCAUGAAAUUCUGAAACAUGAAGAUGAAAUCGUUAGUAAUUGUAAAUUAUUAUGUUACAGUGAAAUAUUAGUCAAAUUUUGCACACACC
rnacentral:rRNA from 1 species